UACGUAGGUGGCGAGCGUUGUCCGGAUUUACUGGGCGUAAAGAGCGCGCAGGCGGUCGUGCAAGUCGCGUGUGAAAGCCCCCGGCUCAACUGGGGAGGGUCACGCGAUACUGCUCGACUUGAAGGCAGGAGAGGGAAGUGGAAUUCCCGGUGUAGUGGUGAAAUGCGUAGAUAUCGGAAGGAACACCAGUGGCGAAGGCGACUUCCUGGACCGUUACUGACACUGAGGCACGAAAGCGUGGGGAGCGAACAGG
rnacentral:rRNA from 1 species